GACCUACGGGGCGCAGCAGUGGGGGAUAUUGGACAAUGGGGGAAACCCUGAUCCAGCGAUGCCGCGUGAGGGAAGAAGGUUUUCGGAUUGUAAACCUCUGUGGAGGGGGACGAUAAUGACGGUAUCUAACGAAUAAGCACCGGCUAACUCCGUGCCAGCAGCCGCGGUAAUACGGAGGGUGCAAGCGUUACUCGGAAUCACUGGGCGUAAAGAGCGCGUAGGCGGGAUAGCAAGUCAGAUGUGAAAUCCUAUGGCUUAACCAUAGAACUGCAUUUGAAACUGUUAUUCUAGAGUAUGGGAGAGGU
rnacentral:rRNA from 1 species